ACGAGACAUCUCGAGAGAUGAGAUCCGACAUGAAGGACAACUGUCUAUGUUGUUUCUGAUUCAUAACAAGCAGACGAGAUGCUUAAACUGUCGGCAGAAUUCAAUUUUCGUGUUCAGGUUUAGUUCGCUCCGUUCAUUGAGCACUACAAACACAUUCUGCCCAAGACAACGAGUGCACACGUCUACAUUGAAUGAUAUCCUCGGCGAUCAGAACCAGCGACGUGAGCAUUAUGCCCGAGGCAGCAAACUGUGGGCACGGGUGGCCCAGUCGUCUAAGGCGCCGCAGUUUUCGUGCCGGUAACCUAUGAUCUACACUCUUCAAAAUAAGAAACGCACAGUUCGAAAAUGCCGAGACUCAGCGUUGCCGAUCGGAACAUCG